rnacentral:lncRNA from 1 species
UUGUACAUUACUCUUCAACCAUGUAUACCAUCUCAGCAGUCUCAAAUAACCAGUCAGGAUGAAGCUGGUGAAUUUGAUCCACAAUAGUCAGAUGACGUCAACCCAGAAGCAGAAGCAGAAGUGGACAUCGUUGAUGAAGAAUAAGAGGAGACCGAGAUACAGGUUGAUCACAUGCUGAACAACGACAUUGAAGAUGAUGAUCAACCACCACCAAUACCUCAUAGUCAUGUAUACAAUCCGCCUCAACAUAUGACAAAUAUGGAUCUGCACGACAAUGAAAC